rnacentral:ncRNA from 2 species
GAGGAACCCGGUGCGAGUCCGGGGCGGUCGCGCCACUGUGAUCGACCCACGCGGGUCGGCAGCCAGAGACUC